rnacentral:rRNA from 1 species
GACGAACGCUGGCGGCGUGCUUAACACAUGCAAGUCGAACGGAAAGGCCCUGCUUUUGUGGGGUGCUCGAGUGGCGAACGGGUGAGUAACACGUGAGUAACCUGCCCUUGACUUUGGGAUAACUUCAGGAAACUGGGGCUAAUACCGGAUAGGAGCUCCUGCUGCAUGGUGGGGGUUGGAAAGUUUCGGCGGUUGGGGAUGGACUCGCGGCUUAUCAGCUUGUUGGUGGGGUAGUGGCUUACCAAGGCUUUGACGGGUAGCCGGCCUGAGAGGGUGACCGGCAACAUUGGGACUGAGAUACGGCCCAGACUCCUACGGGAGGCAGCAGUGGGGAUUAUUGCACAAUGGGCGGAAGCCGGAUGCAGCAACGCCGCGUGCGGGAUGACGGCCUUCGGGUGGUAAACCGCUUUCGCCUGUGACGAAGCGUGAGUGACGGUAAUGGGUAAAGAAGCACCGGCUAACUACGUG